rnacentral:rRNA from 1 species
GAUGAACGCUGGCGGCGUGCUUAACACAUGCAAGUCGAACGGUGAACACGGAGCUUGCUCUGUGGGAUCAGUGGCGAACGGGUGAGUAACACGUGGGCAACCUGCCCCUGACUCUGGGAUAAGCGCUGGAAACGGCGUCUAAUACUGGAUAUGUGACGUGACCGCAUGGUCUGCGUUUGGAAAGAUUUUUCGGUUGGGGAUGGGCUCGCGGCCUAUCAGCUUGUUGGUGAGGUAAUGGCUCACCAAGGCGUCGACGGGUAGCCGGCCUGAGAGGGUGACCGGCCACACUGGGACUGAGACACGGCCCAGACUCCUACGGGAGGCAGCAGUGGGGAAUAUUGCACAAUGGGCGCAAGCCUGAUGCAGCAACGCCGCGUGAGGGAUGACGGCCUUCGGGUUGUAAACCUCUUUUAGCAGGGAAGAAGCGAAAGUGACGGUACCUGCAGAAAAAGCGCCGGCUAACUACGUG